GGGUUGUGAGGUUAAGCGACUAAGCGUACACGGUGGAUGCCCUGGCAGUCAGAGGCGAUGAAGGACGUGCUAAUCUGCGAUAAGCGUCGGUAAGGUGAUAUGAACCGUUAUAACCGGCGAUUUCCGAAUGGGGAAACCCAGUGUGUUUCGACACACUAUCAUUAACUGAAUCCAUAGGUUAAUGAGGCGAACCGGGGGAACUGAAACAUCUAAGUACCCCGAGGAAAAGAAAUCAACCGAGAUUCCCCCAGUAGCGGCGAGCGAACGGGGAGGAGCCCAGAGUCUGAAUCAGUGUGUGUGUUAGUGGAAGCGUCUGGAAAGGCGUGCGAUACAGGGUGACAGCCCCGUACACAAAAAUGCACAUAUUGUGAGCUCGAUGAGUAGGGCGGGACACGUGGUAUCCUGUCUGAAUAUGGGGGGACCAUCCUCCAAGGCUAAAUACUCCUGACUGACCGAUAGUGAACCAGUACCGUGAGGGAAAGGCGAAAAGAACCCCGGCGAGGGGAGUGAAAAAGAACCUGAAACCGUGUACGUACAAGCAGUGGGAGCCUCUUAAUGGGGUGACUGCGUACCUUUUGUAUAAUGGGUCAGCGACUUAUAUUCUGUAGCAAGGUUAACCGAAUAGGGGAGCCGAAGGGAAACCGAGUCUUAACUGGGCGUUAAGUUGCAGGGUAUAGACCCGAAACCCGGUGAUCUAGCCAUGGGCAGGUUGAAGGUUGGGUAACACUAACUGGAGGACCGAACCGACUAAUGUUGAAAAAUUAGCGGAUGACUUGUGGCUGGGGGUGAAAGGCCAAUCAAACCGGGAGAUAGCUGGUUCUCCCCGAAAGCUAUUUAGGUAGCGCCUCGUGAAUUCAUCUCCGGGGGUAGAGCACUGUUUCGGCAAGGGGGUCAUCCCGACUUACCAACCCGAUGCAAACUGCGAAUACCGGAGAAUGUUAUCACGGGAGACACACGGCGGGUGCUAACGUCCGUCGUGAAGAGGGAAACAACCCAGACCGCCAGCUAAGGUCCCAAAGUCAUGGUUAAGUGGGAAACGAUGUGGGAAGGCCCAGACAGCCAGGAUGUUGGCUUAGAAGCAGCCAUCAUUUAAAGAAAGCGUAAUAGCUCACUGGUCGAGUCGGCCUGCGCGGAAGAUGUAACGGGGCUAAACCAUGCACCGAAGCUGCGGCAGCGACACUAUGUGUUGUUGGGUAGGGGAGCGUUCUGUAAGCCUGUGAAGGUGGCCUGUGAGGGUUGCUGGAGGUAUCAGAAGUGCGAAUGCUGACAUAAGUAACGAUAAAGCGGGUGAAAAGCCCGCUCGCCGGAAGACCAAGGGUUCCUGUCCAACGUUAAUCGGGGCAGGGUGAGUCGACCCCUAAGGCGAGGCCGAAAGGCGUAGUCGAUGGGAAACAGGUUAAUAUUCCUGUACUUGGUGUUACUGCGAAGGGGGGACGGAGAAGGCUAUG
rnacentral:rRNA from 1 species